GAUGAACGCUGGCGGCGUGCCUAAUACAUGCAAGUCGAGCGAACAGACGAGGAGCUUGCUCCUCUGACGUUAGCGGCGGACGGGUGAGUAACACGUGGAUAACCUACCUAUAAGACUGGGAUAACUCCGGGAAACCGGUGCUAAUACCGGAUAAUAUAUUGAACCGCAUGGUUCAAUAGUGAAAGACGGUUUUGCUGUCACUUAUAGAUGGAUCCGCGCCGCAUUAGCUAGUUGGUAAGGUAACGGCUUACCAAGGCGACGAUGCGUAGCCGGCCUGAGAGGGUGAUCGGCCACACUGGAACUGAGACACGGUCCAGACUCCUACGGGAGGCAGCAGUAGGGAAUCUUCCGCAAUGGGCGAAAGCCUGACGGAGCAACGCCGCGUGAGUGAUGAAGGUCUUCGGAUCGUAAAACUCUGUUAUUAGGGAAGAACAAAUGUGUAAGUAACUAUGCACGUCUUGACGGUACCUAAUCAGAAAGCCACGGCUAACUACGUG
rnacentral:rRNA from 1 species